UGCAACUCUCUGUGUAAACCAGGCUGCC
rnacentral:piRNA from 1 species